GACAAUGUGGUGUUCAAGCGUGCACCUGGGAACGAUUGCCUACCCGAAGUCCAUCUCCGAUUAUGGCUUCGACUGUGCCCAGAGCGGGUGAAAGGCCCGUGCGGGUAGGCUUGUGGAUAUUAUAAUCGUUCCUCAGAUGUGUAUGCUUUCGAGUCGGAUUGCUUGAGAAUGCAGUCCAAAGUGGGUGGUAAACUCCAUCCAAGGCUAAAUACUGGCACGAGUCCGAUAGUAGACAAGUACCGUGAGGGAAAGUUGAAAAGUACUCUGAAGAGAGAGUAAAUAGCACGUGAAGCCGCUUGCAGGGAAGCUGGUGGAGUCAAGCUUCUUGUCGAGAGAAUUGUCAUCAGAGGAUUAUUGCCUCGGGACGUGGCGCUGGUCAGCCUGGAAACGGUUUGGUGCGUGCAAACGCAUUUCAAGUCAUUCUGGGAAGAAUGAUUGUGCUGGCGCCUAUCUUCCACCUCUGGUGCUUUAUUCUCCAUGA
rnacentral:rRNA from 1 species